CCUACGGGAGGCAGCAGUAAGGAAUAUUGGUCAAUGGACGCAAGUCUGAACCAGCCAUGCCGCGUGAAGGAUGAAGGUCCUCUGGAUUGUAAACUUCUUUUAUAGGGGACGAAAAAAGGGAAUUCUUUCUCACUUGACGGUACCCUAGGAAUAAGCACCGGCUAACUCCGUGCCAGCAGCCGCGGUAAUACGGAGGGUGCAAGCGUUAUCCGGAUUCACUGGGUUUAAAGGGUGCGUAGGUGGGCAUUUAAGUCAGUGGUGAAAUCUCCGGGCUUAACCCGGAAACUGCCAUUGAUACUAUUUGUCUUGAAUAUUGUGGAGGUAAGCGGAAUAUGUCAUGUAGCGGUGAAAUGCUUAGAUAUGACAUAGAACACCCAUUGCGAAGGCAGCUUACUACGCAAAUAUUGACACUGAGGCACGAAAGCGUGGGGAUCAAACAGGAUUAGAUACCCUGGUAGUCCACGCCCUAAACGAUGGAUACUCGACAUCAGCGAUACACAGUUGGUGUCUGAGCGAAAGCAUUAAGUAUCCCACCUGGGAAGUACGACCGCAAGGUUGAAACUUAAAUGAAAUUGACGG
rnacentral:rRNA from 1 species